rnacentral:rRNA from 1 species
AUGGCUCAGAUUGAACGCUGGCGGCAUGGCUAAAACAUGCAAGUCGAACGCGAAAGGGAGCAAUCCCAAGUAGAGUGGCGAAAGGGCGAGUAAUGCGUUUCUAACGUACCCCAGACUCGAGGAUAGCUCACCGAAAGGUGAAUUAAUACUCGAUGAUGCUCACGGGUUGUAUGACCUGUGUGCCAAAGGCUGGUCUGGGAGCGGGGAACGUCCUAUCAGGUAGUUGGUGAGGUAAUGGCUCACCAAGCCUAUGACGGGUAGCGGGUGUGAGAGCACGGCCCGCCGCAUCGGGACUGAGACACUGCCCGGACUCCUACGGGAGGCUGCAGUAACGAAUAUUCCGCAAUGCGCGAAAGCGUGACGGAGCGAUGCCGCGUGCAGGAUGAAGCCCCUCGGGGUGUAAACUGCUGUCAGGGUUUACCAAUAAAUUGAGGAUACCCAAAGGAAGAGACGGCUAACUCUGUGCCAGCAGCCGCGGUAAUACAGAGGUCUCGAGCGUUAAUCGGAAUUACUGGGCUUAAAGGGUGCGUAGGCGGCGCUGUAAGUGCCUUGUGAAAUCCCAUGGCUUAACCAUGGAAUUGCUCGGCAGACUGCAGUGCUUGAGGUUGGUAGGGGUCGCUGGAACUCUAGGUGGAGCGGUGAAAUGCGUAGAUAUCUAGAGGAACGCCAAAGGUGUAGACAGGCGACUGGGCCAAUUCUGACGCUGAGGCACGAAAGCGUGGGUAGCGAACGGGAUUAGAUACCCCGGUAGUCCACGCCCUAAACGAUGCGCACUAGAUCGUGGAGGCUCUGACGCCAUCAUGGUCGAAGUUAAAAUGCUAAGUGCACCGCCUGGGGAGUACGGUCGCAAGGCUAAAACUCA